CCGUAAAAGGCAAAUUCGUCGAAAGACGAAUACGCAAAACCUAGAACCUAAAGCCAUAAUUUAUGGCAAAGGUAGUCGGUUGCCG
rnacentral:ncRNA from 1 species